UUUCCCGGCCCCACUCAGACAUCAGUUCCCAAUGGAUCACUGAAGUUAAGCUACGUUCCGCGUGGUUGGUAUCCAAAUGGGUGACCAUCUGGGCAACCGCGUGCUGCUGGCU
rnacentral:rRNA from 1 species